AAACUGCCAGGCUAAAGAUUGCCAUGGAAACAUGCAGUUUGAGAGUGAGAUAAGAAAUGAUUGAGAGAAUCAAUGUCUAGGGAUAACACAAAGUAUGGCCACAGCAGCAGACAUGACUGCCUGAUGGUCCAAUUCAUUCUAGCCAAGAAUAACAGCGAGAGGAAAGAGUUGAAACAACCUACCAGCUAAACAGGACCCAGCUCACAGUUAAACCUAACACAGAACCAUCACUGACACAUAUAUAUAAAUACGAAGAUCCU
rnacentral:lncRNA from 1 species